UACGGAGGGGGCUAGCGUUGUUCGGAAUUACUGGGCGUAAAGCGCGCGUAGGCGGACCUGCAAGUCGGGGGUGAAAGCCCGAGGCUCAACCUCGGAACUGCCUUCGAUACUGCGGGUCUCGAGUCCGGGAGAGGUGAGUGGAAUUCCUAGUGUAGAGGUGAAAUUCGUAGAUAUUAGGAAGAACACCAGUGGCGAAGGCGGCUCACUGGGACGGUACUGACGCUGAGACGCGAAAGCGUGGGGAGCGAACAGG
rnacentral:rRNA from 1 species